rnacentral:rRNA from 1 species
UACGUAGGGGGCAAGCGUUGUCCGGAAUCAUUGGGCGUAAAGCGCGUGUAGGCGGCCCGGUAAGUCCGCUGUGAAAGUCGGGGGCUCAACCCUCGGAUGCCGGUGGAUACUGUCGGGCUAGAGUGCGGGAGAGGCGAGUGGAAUUCCUGGUGUAGCGGUGAAAUGCGCAGAUAUCAGGAGGAACACCGGUGGCGAAGGCGGGUCUCUGGGCCGUAACUGACGCUGAGGAGCGAAAGCGUGGGGAGUGAACAGG